UUUCCUACACACUACCGCGUCCCGCGAGGGUUGAGCGGUUGAACGGCAGCCUUAUCGCCUACAGGGCUGCGGAGUGCGCUGAGAGCGAUACGCCGCAGACGCCCGCCCCCGGGAGGGCAGCACGCUUCCAGAAGUUACCGCAGCGAUCCGGCAACGCUGCCCAAGGCAACGGGAUCCUCGAGACCCCCCGCUCCGCCCGAGGGGCCACCCGCCCUUCCCGCUCCCGCCGGGGGAGGAGCCGCCGCCUCACAGAGUCGUUCCCCACCGCCUCGUGCGUUGUAGCAACGCGGCGCGGCUGGACGGGACGGGCAGUUUCCCCGCCGUGGGCCCGCGCGAAGGGAGCGUGCACUUACCCGCCGAGCCGCCGGCGGCGAUCUGGAGGCGUCGGUGGUGCCAUUUGGCUCACUCACCAUCUUCCUGAAGCGCACUGUGCUGUAAAAACCUUUGGACUAUGGCUGCUGCUGUUUGGUGGUCAAAGGACACGGUGAUUUGGGGUGGACGGUGCAUGCGUCAUGCAAACCCACAGGCUCAGCAAAAGCUCCCUGGCCUUGAGCACUGUGACAGUCAGCCCUGGUUCUGACAGUCUCCAGCGUUAUUCCUGCCAAGGCCAACCGACGCUUUUCAGAAGAUGCCAGGAUACAGUGCAGGGGGUGAUAUUGGCCAGAGGCUCUUCUCCAGAGUCUGUGUUGGCAGGGCUACACUGCUGAAGGGGAGAACAGAUCACCUGUAUGGAUGUGGAGCAGCCAAGGGCAUUUAUUCUCAGAGACAUUGGGCAUAGGUAUAAAUGUCAACAUGUCUGUUGUUGCUGUCUUUUCCCUAACUCUGACUAGCACUGUGGUUUCUCACAGUCCUCUCCAUUUUUUCUUCUAAUACUACUACUUUUUCUUAAGCCAACAGAAGGCUCAUUCAGCUCAAACUUGGUCCUUACCUAACAGUGAGAAGAUACUUACAUACAAGCAUGGUUCCAUUGGUUUUGAGGAGAGAACAGAGCUAGUGUUGAUCUCAAUGGUACAUUUAUUAGAGUUAAGAACAUAGAUUUUAAAGGAAAUGUCUCUUGAAUAAGAUUCUAGAUUGCUGUUAACCACUCGGAUAACUUGGGUUUAAUUUGUUUUCUUGCUAAGAGCUCUACAAUGCUAACGCAGACAAGAAUAUUCCUUUUGAGUCAGAAAUCCUUAACAUUAUCUUCAAAGUGAUUCCAUUAAUAACCUUGAACUUUAUGAAAUAAAACUAGGCUAGAUUUGCUGGCACAUCUCCAAAAGAAAGGGAAAAGAAAGAUAGUUUUUGCAUCCUUAUUUUUUCACUUCACUAGAGGGAAAACAAAAACAAACAAAUAAAAAAGAAGACAACACCACCACAGUUUGCUGUUAUCUCACCAAGUCAAGAAGUUUAAAGUCUCUUAAAAGCAUUAUUUGUAACAAGAUGCAUAUUAUAUAUUCCUGCAGCACAGCUAUUGAAAGCAAAUGUUGGUACUCAGUUCUUUUUCUGUUAGAAAAGGGAUCUGUGGUCCACCUCAUUCACUGGGAAAUAACCUGUGUACACACAAAAACCCAUAAUGUUCUGUGAUGAGGUGCAAUUUGAGAAGGGAGGAUUCUUUAACAGCCUACAAAUGGGUUUUGUGCAUAAGGUUUUGAAACUGCAGUACUUUCAUCCCCUUCAUUUGCCUUUCUGACAAUCAUUUGCCAAACCUUUGCAAAUGUUUUCCUGUUUUGAGAAGCAAUUGCAGGUACCUUAGAAUUUGGAAGUCAAAACUUAAAUAUAACUUAAUAAAAUAUAUAUUUGGAAAAUG